ensembl:lncRNA
GACGGUUUCUCGAGUUCACGCGGGAAUUUAUGAUGGAGUUAUACUAAAAUAGCGGGUUUCGAUUUAGGGUUAAAAGAAGGUAGGCUUAUGUAUAGUUAACAUCACUUGAAGAGACGUUUAAGUGUACUACAACGCUAAUUUGACAAGAGUCUAUCAAGUGACAGGCUUAUCUAAUUAUGGAUUUGGUGCCUUUCCAGACUCCAUAGUGACCUCAAACUGUGCAAUAUCCGCCUUCACUGUCUCUCAGAUACAUUCAGCUGGUUCCCUCCACAGCUUUAAUGUAGAGGAUUCUAAGAAGAAGAAAUGACCAGACAAAAGCGCCUGUGAGACACUGCUUCAUUUGACGAGUGGUGCUGUGAUGGUCACGCUUCAAAACACCACUUUAUAGCAAGGGCAGAAUUCAAAGUGGAAGGAAUUGUGGUGCUUACCAUCUGUAAUCUCUCAGAGGGAAGAAUCAUCUCAUGCUAUGAUUAUAGAGAAGGAACGAGGAUUAUUACCGUGGCCCUGUGAGUGAAGCUCGCUGAUAAAUUCUGUAUUAAGAUGUUCCAGUAUAUUGAAAUUUCUCCCCCACAUGCUGGAGCCGGAGCAAAGAAAGACCAUUACAAUGGCCAUUUUCUCCUUGAGGCACUGGAUCAGGCGGAUGGCGGCUGUUAUUUGUCUAUGCAGUGAGGCUGAACGAAAGAAGAGCUGUGGUGCUUAAGACUGUUCUAAUACCUCCGUUUUCUUGAAUAAUUACCUCCAUCAUAGCUGCUGUGAUCCACAGUGCCCCGGACUCACAAUCCUACUGCUGAAGUCUCUUAAAACAGAGAGACUCAGGUAUACCUUGCACAAAACACGCUGGCUGUUAAAGGUACAGUUGGUCCAUGAAAAAUCAUAAGGUUGCUCCUUCGGUUCUGUUGGUCAGUACAUUUUAUGUCCUCAUCAUAAUCUUAAUAAUAUCAUCUUAAGAUAUUGUAUAAAACAUUCAACUCACAAUAUGUAAAAACAGUAUUCAUUAUUUGUGAUAAUAUUUAAAUUAAUGGUACAAUUUUGAUGUAGGUGGUAACAGUUGUAUUAAAGUGAGUGGAGCGGUUGAAGUGUUGUUACUAAAAACUAUUUAAAGUUUUCCUUUAUUGAAAGCCUAAACAACUUAAAUGAAAAUUAGUAAUGUUGCCUUGGCAACUAAACUGAAAUCAGUUUAGUUACUUAAACUGUAAUAAAAAUAAAUGAAAGCUAAAUGAAAAAAAAAAAAACUAAUAAAAAUUACAAAAGCACAUAAUGAAAUUACUAAAACUGAGAAUUUAAAUAAAAAGGUAAUAAAAAUAUGAAUAAAUACUAUAAUAUAAAUAACACAAAAAUAACACUAGCUUGUGAAAAAAAUGUGUGCUGACAGUCACAAAAAGCUACUCAUUUAGCUUGGAGGAGA